AUACGUAGGGGGCGAGCGUUGUCCGGAAUGAUUGGGCGUAAAGGGCGCGUAGGCGGCGCGGUAAGUCUGGAGUGAAAGCCCUGCUUUCAAGGUGGGAAUUGCUUUGGAUACUGCCGCGCUUGAGUGCAGGAGAGGUUAUCGGAAUUCCCGGUGUAGCGGUGAAAUGCGUAGAGAUCGGGAGGAACACCAGUGGCGAAGGCGGGUAACUGGACUGCAACUGACGCUGAGGCGCGAAAGUGUGGGGAGCAAACAGGAUUAGAUACCCUGGUAGUCCACACUGUAAACGAUGAAUGCUAGGUGUAAGAGGUAUCGACCCCUUUUGUGCCGGAGUUAACACAAUAAGCAUUCCGCCUGGGGAGUACGGCCGCAAGGUUGAAACUCAAAGGAAUUGACGGGG
rnacentral:rRNA from 1 species